rnacentral:rRNA from 1 species
CCUGAUAGACGAGGAUACCUUGUGGAAACGCGAGUUAAGCCUGGAUACGCUGAGCAUUUGAGAGGGUGUUUAGGAAAAGUUGGGACCUGAGAGGGCCAGCUGCUAUGAGAGGGGCCUGCGUUAGAUUAGCUGGUUGGUGGGGUAAAGGCCUACCAAGGCGAAGAUCUAUAGCUGUUCUGAGAGGAAGGUCAGCCACACUGGGACUGAGACACGGCCCAG